GGCUGCGGGGUCCCGCCCACCCUCUACCUGUGCCGGGGGCCGGGGGCCGGAACCUGGCCCCGGGGAGGGCGCGGCCUCGGGGAGACGGCGUGCAGGCCCAGCACUGUUGGCCACCGCAGGCCUGUCUUCCUAUUCACCGUGGGCAGCAGAGGGAUGGCUGCUCAGCUGCUGACUGAUGAGGCACUGGUUCCUUCAUGUUGCAGCGUGUGUCAGAGCUGUCGUGUGGACGAACCACAUUAUUUAUCCAUUCAUCAGGAGAUGGACAUUUGAGUCGUUUCCACUUUGGGACUAUUGCGAAUAGCAUUGCUAUGAGCAUCAGUGUAUAGUUUUUGUGUGGCACUCUGUUUUCAUUUUUCUUAGAUAUCUACCAAGAAUGAAAGUGCUAGGUCAUAAGGUAACUCUGUGUUUAUUCACUUGAGGAAAUGCCAGACUGUCUUCCAAAGCAGCUGAACCAUUUUACAUCCCCACCAGCUGUGCAUUCUUACCAGUUUCUUGCAUUCACUUCCAUAAAGAGGUCUGCGCCUGUAUAAGCACAUAUGUGUAAAUUUCCCUUUAUUAUUUCCUCUUAUGGAAAUGUUAACAAACUAGACACACUGUUCUGGGCAUUGAUCUGUUUUUUCAUGUAACAGUAUAUUCGGGAGAUCAUUCUGCACCUGCAGCUAAGGGGCUGCCCCCUUUUUUUUGUUAUGGUUGUGUGUAUUCCACUGUGGUGGAUUCACUGACCUGAUUUAUCCAAACCCUUACUGAUGGCCAUUUGGGAUGUG
rnacentral:sRNA from 1 species